CAAAAAACAGCUCUCCUCGAACACAGCAUUACACAUCAUCAUAACUUCGAUGUAAACAAGGUGAAGAUACUCGAUCAACAUAACCGAACGACAGCUCUUCCUAUAUUGGAAAUGUGUCAUAUCAUCAACCAGCAAAAAACUGUAAACAAACGCACAGAUACCGACGGACUUAGUUGUAUAUAUGCAGGAAUUCUACAAACACUACAUAAUAGAAACUAUAAAACUGACAACACUUACACUACCGAUACUACCAUACGCACGAUUAUAGCAAACACUCAACAACCGUCAAGUUCAGUACAGUUACCAGAUCGAAUAUAGCGCUUUUUCCCUCGUUCUCUACCCGCGAAACAGAAUCGUUUCAAACGCAGAAAAAUUUCAAAAAAUACAGUAGGUGCAUGAAUAUGCGAACAAUAGCACUAUUAGAUGACGCGUAUACAUUAGGACAGUUCAUGUUUUACCACAACAUUACACUUUACAAGAAAACACAAAGUUUUUAAUCCUUGAUAAAGGUGGAAUAAAUCCAUUGAAACGUUGGAAGUAAAAGCAAUAUUGUUGUUUUCGCUGUCUAAUUUAUGACUGAUUAGCCG